GGACGUGCAGCUCAAUGGGAGAGCACCUGUUUUACACACAGGAUACAGUGGUUCAAGCGGUCCGCCGCCGCGGUCCAUUCACGUCUACCA
rnacentral:tRNA from 1 species